rnacentral:rRNA from 1 species
GACGAACGCUGGCGGCGUGCCUAAUACAUGCAAGUAGAACGCUGAAGGAGGAGCUUGCUUCUCUGGAUGAGUUGCGAACGGGUGAGUAACGCGUAGGUAACCUGCCUGGUAGCGGGGGAUAACUAUUGGAAACGAUAGCUAAUGCCGCAUAAUAGUAGAUGUUGCAUGACAUUUGCUUAAAAGGUGCAAUUGCAUCACUACCAGAUGGACCUGCGUUGUAUUAGCUAGUUGGUGAGGUAACGGCUCACCAAGGCGACGAUACAUAGCCGACCUGAGAGGGUGAUCGGCCACACUGGGACUGAGACACGGCCCAGACUCCUACGGGAGGCAGCAGUAGGGAAUCUUCGGCAAUGGACGGAAGUCUGACCGAGCAACGCCGCGUGAGUGAAGAAGGUUUUCGGAUCGUAAAGCUCUGUUGUAAGAGAAGAACGAGUGUGAGAGCGGAAAGUUCACACUGUGACGGUAUCUUACCAGAAAGGGACGGCUAACUACGUG